rnacentral:SRP_RNA from 1 species
GCCGGGCGCGGUGGCGGGCGCCUGUAGUCCCAGCUACUCGGGAGGCUGAGGCUGGAGGAUCGCUUGAGCUCAGGAGUUCUGGGCUGCAGUGCGCUAUGCCGAUCGGGUGUCCGCACUAAGUUCGGCAUCAAUAUGGUGACCUCCCGGGAGCGGGGGACCACCAGGUUGCCUAAGGAGGGGUGAACCGGCCCAGGUCGGAAACGCAGCAGGUCAAAACUCCCGUGCUGAUCAGUAGUGGGAUCGCGCCUGUGAAUAGCCACUGUACUCCAGCCUGGGCAACAUAGCGAGACCCCGUCU